CCCUUCGGGGUGCAGCAGGCGCGAAAACUUUACAAUGCGGGAAACCGUGAUAAGGGGACACCGAGUGCCAGCAUCAUAUGCUGGCUGUCCAGAUGUGUAAAAUACAUCUGUUAGCAAGGGCCGGGCAAGACCGGUGCCAGCCGCCGCGGUAACACCGGCGGCCCGAGUGGUGAUCGUGAUUAUUGGGUCUAAAGGGUCCGUAGCCGGUUUGGUCAGUCCUCCGGGAAAUCUGAUAGCUCAACUAUUAGGCUUUCGGGGGAUACUGCCAGACUUGGAACCGGGAGAGGUAAGAGGUACUACAGGGGUAGGAGUGAAAUCUUGUAAUCCCUGUGGGACCACCUGUGGCGAAGGCGUCUUACCAGAACGGGUUCGACGGUGAGGGACGAAAGCUGGGGGCACGAACCGGAUUAGAUACCCGGGUAGUCCCAGCCGUAAACGAUGCUCGCUAGGUGUCAGACAUGGCGCGACCGUGUCUGGUGCCGCAGGGAAGCCGUGAAGCGAGCCACCUGGGAAGUACGGCCGCAAGGCUGAAACUUAAAGGAAUUGGCGGGGGAGCAC
rnacentral:rRNA from 1 species